CAGAAAAGAACAGCACCCUCCAGAUCAUCUUCAACACCAUCAACCAUGUUCUCCGUCUCUCUGCUGCUGCUAAUACUGCUGGCAGCUGCUUCCUGUGUGAACAGUGAACAACUCACCCAGCCAGCCUCUAUGACUGUCCAGCCAGGUCAAGCACUGACCAUCCCCUGUCAGGUCUCCUACUCUGUCACUAGCUAUGGCACAGGUUGGAUACGGCAACCUGCAGGGAAAGCUCUGGAAUGGAUUGGCUAUACAAGCACUGGUGGAAGCUUAUCUUACAAGGACUCACUGAAAAACAAGUUCAUCAUGACCAGAGAUACCUCCAGCAACACUCUGACUCUGAAAGGACAGAACCUGCAGACUGAAGACACAGCUGUGUAUUACUGUGCUAGACAGUCACACUGA